CCUACGGGUGGCAGCAGUAGGGAAUAUUGCUCAAUGGGGGAAACCCUGAAGCAGCAACGCCGCGUGGAGGAUGAAGGUUUUAGGAUUGUAAACUCCUUUUGUGAGAGAAGAUAAUGACGGUAUCUCACGAAUAAGCACCGGCUAACUACGUGCCAGCAGCCGCGGUAAUACGGAGGGGGCAAGCGUUACCCGGAAUCACUGGGCGUAAAGAGUGCGCAGGCGGGCGUGUAAGUCAGGUGUGAAAGCCGGUGGCUUAACCACCGAACUGCAUUUGAAACUGUGAGUCUGGAGUGCAGGAGAGGUAAGUGGAAUUCUUGGUGUAGGGGUAAAAUCCGUAGAUAUCAGGAGGAAUACUAGUGGCGAAGGCGACCUACUGGAACAUUACUGACGCUGAUGCACGAAAGCGUGGGGAGCAAACAGGAUUAGAUACCCCAGUAGUC
rnacentral:rRNA from 1 species